rnacentral:lncRNA from 1 species
UGUCCACCUACACUGACUGUUAGUGGAGUACCAAGUCAAUUCCCAAGAUGGUCUCAAGUUAGAGGCAUAAUUUAAUUUAUGAACUAAUAUAGUCAUCCCAAACUCAGAUCCAUUUGAGGUCAAAAGCAGUUUCCCCAGUGUUCAGAAAUUCCUCUCUGAACUUCCUGCCACUUUCACCAGCCCCCAUUCUUCCUCCUCUCCCUCUAUUCUUUUCUAUUAUCAGGCCUGAUAUAGGUUGAAUUGUGCUCCACCCCUGGAAGUCCUAGUCCUCAGGACCUUGGAAUAUGACCUUAUUGUGAAAUAAUAUCCACUUGGAUAUAAUUAACUAAGAUCAAGUCAUACUGGAGUAGGAUGGGCCAAACAUGACUGUGUCCAUAUAAGAAGACCAUGUGAAGACACAGAGACAUAAGGAGAAAAUGAUGUAAAGAAGGAGUGAUAAAUCAAUGACCAAGGAACACCAAUGAUAGCCACCUAUCACUAGAAGCUAGGAAAGGGCGAGACAACAGAUUUACCCUCAGAGACUUCAGGAAGAAACAACCCUACCAACACCUUGAUUUUAGACAUCUAGCUUCUAGAACUAUAAGAAUACAAAUUUCUGUUCUUUUAAGCCACCCAAUUUGUAGUACUAUAUGGCAGUCCGGGAGGUAAAUACAAAACUAUACAGUCCUUUCUGAGCCUAGACUCCAUAGGGAGACUGUAUUAGUCCAUUUUCUGUUACUAUAAAGAAAUACCUGAGACUGGGUGCUCAUAAAGAGAAGAGGUUUAUUUAGCUUAUGUUUUAGAAGCUGAAAGUCCAAAC